rnacentral:rRNA from 1 species
GACGUAGGAUGCGAGCGUUGUCCGGAAUCAUUGGGCGUAAAGAGUUCGUAGGCGGCAUGUCAAGUCUGGUGUUAAAGCCCGGGGCUCAACCCCGGUUUCGCACCGGAUACUGGCAAGCUAGAGUGCAGAAGAGGCAAGGGGAAUUCCCAGUGUAGCGGUGAAAUGCGUAGAUAUUGGGAGGAACACCGGUGGCGUAAGCGCCUUGCUGGGCUGUUACUGACGCUGAGGAACGAAAGCCGGGGGAGCGAAUGGGAUUAGAAACCCCAGUAGUCC